rnacentral:misc_RNA from 1 species
GAUGAAGAACGUAGCGAAAUGCGAUAAGUAGUGUGAAUUGCAGAAUUCAGUGAAUCAUCGAAUCUUUGAACGCACAUUGCGCCCCUUGGUAUCCCGAGGGGCAUGCCUGUUCGAGCGUCAUUUCACCACUCAAGCCUGGCUUGGUGUUGGGCGACGUCCUCUUUGGGGACGCGCCUCGAAACGCUCGGCGGCGUGGCACCGGCUUUAAGCGUAGCAGAAUCUUUCGCUUUGGAAGUCGGGGCCCCGUCUGCCGGAAGACCUGCUCGCAAGGUUAACCUCGGAUCAGGCAGGGAUACCCGCUGAACUUAAGCAUAUCAAUAAGCGGAGGA